rnacentral:rRNA from 1 species
AGCGAACGCUGGCGGCAGGCCUAACACAUGCAAGUCGAACGAACCUUUCGGGGUUAGUGGCGGACGGGUGAGUAACACGUGGGAACGUGCCCUUAGGUUCGGAAUAACUCAGGGAAGCUUGUGCUAAUACCGAAUGUGCCCUUCGGGGGAAAGAUUAAUCGCCUUUAGAGCGGCCCGCGUCUGAUUAGCUAGUUGGUUGAGGUAAUGGCUCACCAAGGCGACGAUCAGUAGCUGGUCUGAGAGGAGGAUCAGCCACAUUGGGACUGAGACACGGCACAAACUCCUACGGGAGGCAGCAGUGGGGAAUCUUGCGAAAUGGGCGAAAGCCUGACGCAGCCAUGCCGCGUGAAUGAUGAAGGUAUUAGGAUUGUAAAAUUCUUUCAACGGGGACGAUAAUGACGGUACCCGGAGAAGAAGCCCCGGCUAACUUCGUG